CCCCAGACCCAGCAGCCACGAUAAUUCCCAGCAGAAGACGCCUAAAAUCCCCUAAAAUAGAACCCACGCGUUUCUCAUCCCCUUUCCCUCGUCUCUCUCACCCGCAAAACCCAGACCCCCAGCAUCCACGCGCAAGAGAAAUUCCCAGAACCGAUCCCGUGCAACGCGUCGUAGCGUCUCCCUCAUUCCCCUUGUCUGUUUGUGCGAGGCAUAACGUACUUGUACGAAAUGGAGAACGACGUGGUGAUAUCGCAGCACCCCUCUUGUCUUUGGAGCAAAAUCAAACGAUUGUUCGCACCAUUCCGUUGGAGAAUGGUACGAAGCUCGUACUACUCGGCCCCAACCUUAUCUCUUCAGGGUUUCUUCCGAUUUCAAAUGGAGACUUGGAAUAUCGAUUUUACCCCAACCUUUUCCCUUUUUUCCCCCGCCCUCUUAACCCAAAAGAAACCCUAGUUUCCCUCUAUAAAUACCCCCCCCCCUCAAACGAUAAUGGGGUUGGAAAUUUUUGGAUUGGAAAUUCUGAGCAAAAAGGGUCUUUAGCUUUGUAGGUUAUUCCGGAAGAAAAAAGGGAAAGUUACAGAGGUCGAAUUUUGGAUUAAGAUGGAGUGGAGUUUUUUUUUUCUCUAUCAUUUAUCCUGUUCAAAUCUGUUGGUAGAAGCUUUGAGCGACCAUAGAAACGGUUGCCAGAAUUUGUGCGAAGCCGGAGAUCGACGGAUCGAUAAGCUAAUCGAGCCAAUACUUUCAUUUUGUCACUUGGGUGUACGUGUCUUCGAUUGGUGGAAGUCGUCGUCAUUUGUUGCUCGUCCCAAGCAUCGCUGCUCCGAAGAAUAACUUGCUGCUUCCAUGUCAUGUUAUCGAUUUGUUCAUGUCGUCAUGGCCAUCGUGAUUUCUUUUGGUGAUAGUUAUUGGUUUUCGACAAAAUUUAGAUUGGAACUUUGAAUAUGCUUCUCAUUCUUAAAGGUUUAUUCGGGUUUCUUUAGUGUGAAGUCCACUGUCACACAUCAAAUGGCUGGUAAAUGGUGAUCAGUUGUUAAGUUUUGUUAUGUUAGUUCUUGAUAUGCUUCACUUGUGCGAGGCUUGCAUUGUGGGAUGGUACGAUGUGUUUUGAUGUUAACUAUAUUGAUGUUUGGUGUAUGCGUGAAAUACUAUGGGUGGCGGUUCGAUAGUUUGCAUUCUCGAUACUGCAUUGGCCAUUAGACUGUGUUGAACCGUUACAAACUAAAGGGAGAUGCAACAUCCUGCCUUUCUUUAUCUAUCUUUCUAUGAUCUUGAAUUGCAAUUUUGUUUGCCGAUUUUAUGCUCCUCACAGGGAGUUUUUGGGUUUUAAAAUAGCUUAAUAUAAUAGGCUUUGGUCGAUUUCUUUCCUCUCUUUUGAAUAUUGGUCUGCAGAAGCAUACAGUUUAGUUGUUAUCUCUCUGAAAAUGAUUAUGGCAGGUUGCCCUGAUGCAUUGUUCGUGAUUAAUUUUAGGUUAUUGUUGAUACUAUUUUUUGUUGUUUUCGAAUAUUUGAAAUGGGUCAGUUAGAACAGCUUGAUCUAAGUUAGUUGUUGACAUUUUAUUUGUUGGCCUUUGGUUGUUGCAUAUUCGUUGAAUUUGAUUUCGUUCAUUAGCAUACCGUCGAACUUUUGAUGAAGGAGUCUUGGUUCUCAGCUUCUAUUAUCUUUCUUAUAAAUCAUCCAUUUGUUUAUUUGUUUCCUUUGGGGUUUACUGUGUACUUCACUAAAUAGCUCUAUUGUAUGUUUUUAGCAUUACUUAUAUCUUUUUUUUUGUUUGUUUGCAUGAAAAAUUCCCCUCGAGUCCGUUUCGAGACUCCCUUUUUCUUUACAUUUUGGAAGAUCCGUAGAGGCUCAAUUCCUUUAUCGAGUCAAAGCAAACAAUAUGGAGUCCAACUUCAUGAGGAUUGAAGAAAUUAGAAGAAGACGGAUCAGAAGACUUUUUAUAUGUUUUAUUUUUUUUCUUUUUUCGUAUUUUAUUUGUAAUGGGCAUAAACCCUUGUUGUUUUUCUUAAUUUCUUGUAUUUCUUUUUUGUAUGUUUAGACUAAGACAAGUGAAUGGGUCAAAAACCCAAAAACAGGUGGGUCCAUAAUUCUGUCCAGGCGAACAGAACCCGAAUUUGGACCAAAAACCUCUCUCUCUGUCUCUC